rnacentral:rRNA from 1 species
UACGAAGGGUGCAAGCGUUACUCGGAAUUACUGGGCGUAAAGCGUGCGUAGGCGGUUUGUUAAGUCCGUUGUGAAAGCCCUGGGCUCAACCUGGGAAUUGCAGUGGAUACUGGCAGGCUAGAGUGCGGGAGAGGAGAGUGGAAUUCCUGGUGUAGCGGUGAAAUGCGCAGAUAUCAGGAAGAACACCCGUGGCGAAGGCGGCUCUCUGGAACGCAACUGACGCUGAGACGCGAAAGCGUGGGGAGCGAACAGG